CUUGUAAGUCCUUCUAGUUCUUCUAUGUGAGCCACCACCACAGCAUGGCUACUGACAGAUGAGUGGUGUAGCUCCACGCCCAGGAACCAAACAUGGGCCACCGAAGCAGAGCAUGCUGAACUUUAACCACUAGGCCAUCAGGGUUGGCUCUUUACAAUACUUUUUAGAUGUCUCCAGACAUUGCUAAAUGCUUUCUGGGAGGCAAAAUCUCCCUAGGAUGAGAACCAUGAUUUAGGCAAAUUGCUAGUUGUGACUAUUAAAAAGGUCCAUGUGGCCCAAAAGUUUCUUGGUAUUUAUUUCUUCUAUGCCACUUGCUAAUUUAUAAGACAUUCUGAUAUCUUGCUUGAAUAGAUAGAUUACAGGAGUUUUACUAUCCGGCUUUUUUGGAUGAAGCCUCUAAGAGGGAAAAGUCUAACUAUACUGAGUGUUUCUUUAGCUCUCACUUUUCAGUUUGUAAAAAGCGAUGGUAAAUUACUAUAGCAAUUUUGUCUUUUUACCAAAAAAAUUCACAGAUCACACACAUGCAUGUACCCACACACACACAUACACACACAAGAUUCAAGCUAAAACAUUUUCAGGUUUAGAGUUCUUUAAAUACUAUGAUUAAUUUAAUUUUAUUCUCUGUCUCAUUCCAUAAAGAAUGUCAUGCAAUAAUACAUGUCUUUCCAAAACUAUUUCUCAUUAAUAUCCUCUCCAAAAGUUAACUUAUAGAAAAAAUAAUUUAUAAAAGUGCUUGUCAUUUUUAGGUCUUGGGUACUUGACUUUGAAGUAGACAGCAACAUUGCUGUGUAAGAUGAUGUUGUACACGUUAUACAUCUUGCCUUGGAAUAAUGUCAGCCACACUAAGUUAUUUUGCAAUGUCUCCAUCUACAAAUAAAGUGUUAUUCCUAUGAGACUACUUAGCAUGAGCAAUCAAUGAAUCUGUUUGUCCAUCUAGUACACUAGCUUAGUAAAUAAAUAUUAGGUUCUCCAUUGUUUGCAGAAUAAAAUCAAAGCUCACAAUCCACCAUUCAAAAGAUUGGUUAGGUCUAUAUUUAUCGAUCUGAAAUAAUGUCCAAGAGAUAUUAUUAAGUGAAAAAAGCAAGUGCCUGUGUAUUUGUUUGUUUAGAAAAAGAAAAAAAAAGUGUAUGCAUGUGUGUGUAAAAUGAACAUGAAUGUGGAAGAAUACAAACUAAAACUGAACUUAGGAAAGGAGCUUGAAGUAAGAGAGAAAACAAAAUAAUUUGGUGAAGGUGAAAAUUUGUUCAAAAUGAGUAUGCAUAGUUGUUUCUUAUGUGUUUGCUAUUUAUAUGUAAAUAAUUUACAGCUAAUUAUUCCUUCUCUUCCAUUUUUGUUGUAAGGAAAUCUGCAACAAUCCAAAUGGUCAAAAACUGUUGGAUUAGGUUAACAUAGUUGGUUAUAAUAACACUUAAAAUGUGGUUCCUAUGUAUAGAUUAAUAGCAUGUAUAUUUUAAUAAGGAUAUUAGAAAAAUAUUCUGAAAAACACUCAUAAUGGAUAUCUCUGGCUGAAUCAUGAGUGUGCUCUACAUUAUUCUGCUUGUCUACAUUUUAUUUUUCUAACCAAUGUGUAUUGCUUUUAUAAUGAGGGGCUAAAAGUAAAGCAAAAGGAUCUGAGGAGUGGGAAGGGGGAUGAAGGAGCAGUUGACUUACCAGAACACUGGAAAGUAUGUCAGAAAAUGCUGCGUGAAUAAGGGUCUUAAAAAGUGUAAGAUCAGUUUUGAAAUUUGUCCCAAAGAUACUCAUCAAGAGCUCCUGGAGGAACUGAGUCAUGCUUUCACAGGAAUCUCUUAAGAAAGGAGGAGAAUGAAUUCCAGGAGAUAAAAACAGGUUUUUUUUUAUCGUUUCUUCUGAACACCCUUAGUUACAAGAAUACUGAAAGAUGAAGCAACUUGCUCAAGGAAGUAUAGAGGGGCAUAAGGAUGCGAACAAAAUUUAAUUUGAUCUUAGGCUGCAUUUAAAGAAGCACAAGUAAGAGGUUAAACUGGCAGCUUCAACUGCGGCAAUCCCAUAGGAAAGAUGUUAGAUUCCUAAGUGAGCUGUUGGACCACUGAGUGGGAGUUUCUAACUUAGUGACAUAGGACAGGUUGGAAGGCUCUAAACUCCUUAAGAGAGAUGUAAAAAGAUAUAGGAGUAGUAACUAAGAGUAGAUUUGUGAAGGGAUAUUUUGGAGAGAGCUGCUUCAGCACUAUGAGUCUCCCAGUCCCAGACUCACAGCAGGGGUGGGACACUUACUUCUCCCUUAGCCUCAAGGCAAGAGAGCAAGACUUCAGUGGGACCUGCAGAGAGCUUCAUGUGCAUCCCAUGGAGUUGGGACCACACUGUGUUGUGCCAGAGAGCCUGGGGAUCUUUAAGUGAGAGGUCUGAGAGCAGUCAGGAGAGAAAUGCAGCUGCACUGGGAUUUGCCUGUACUCCUUGAGUUUGGUAAAGGUAAAGAAUAAGUGAGUGUUUCCUGGGGACCAAAUGUGCACCAUUUAAAAUCUGAGUUUACCCGAGGGCUUCACUCAGAAGAUAAGAGCCUUCCAUCAAGUGUCUGUAUGAAAUGAGGUCAGCGUCUGAAGAAGCAGCUGAAAAAAGUGGUUGUAUCACUUUCUGAUGGACCAGCAAAGAGAUCUCUGAAGAAUCCACCAACUUGCCCAGGAUGGAAAAAUAAAGCUCCACCAUCUUCCAGACCUAGAGAGCAUCCAGCCAUUUUAUAGGCAUAACGGUCAAAUGAGAAAUAUACUGUCAUCUUACCUCUUUAUCUCCUCCCACCAUCCCUCCCCCCAUCAGUAGACCCUAAAGAGAUCAGACGCAGUGGCUGGUGGGUUGGUAGAGAUGGGGGUGAGCUGGAGGCAAACAACCAACCACAUCACUCUCCAGAAGGCAGGCUUUGAAUGAAGAUCUAAAGCUUGAUAUUUUAAUUACCAAAUUAAGAUGGUAUUUGGUGAAUUACAGUCGCCAGAGAACUCUAUAUUACCUAAGGGUGAGUAGAAAACUCAGGAGCCUGACAGAUUUUUCAUCCAGAGGGGACGAAAGAACUUUCACUACUGAAAUAUUUUAAAGGGACAUUGGGAGAUUAAAAAAAUAAAACCUCGCAUUUUGAUUAUCCCACAAGGUUUGCUUGGUCAAAAUAUCAGGGACAAUAAAUUUUCAGAGUGAAGGUCAUGAUCAUGUUCUUCUUAGCAGCAUUCAGACCAGGAUUAUGUUCUAUUCUGUAUCAUGUUCCUCAAGAGAGAUAUUGGUAGAGCAACCGAGAUGGAGAAGAGAUGCAAAAGUCAAAUCACAGAAAGGAAAACUCAAGGAACUCCAGCUGUUCAGGCAGGGGAAAAUUUAGGCAAGACACAAUAGCUCAUUUAACCUUUAUUAAUAGGCUUGCAUAUGGGGUACAGACCAGAAAAAUUCUGUGUUCUUCAGGGCUGCAUAAGAACCAGUGGACAAAUUUUAGUGCAAAAUGAGGAGACGUAUAUAAUGCAAGUAUUUGAAAACAUAUGUUUUGGAUUGUCUUGUAUUGCAAUGUAUUUCUCAUUACUGGUUGUUCAAGUGGAGGCUGGAUGACACUUGUCAUGGUUCUUACAUUGAGGAUCCAUUUAUCAUUUGAUUUUAGGUCAAAUUGCCAAGGAUCAAUUUGUUUUAAACCAGUUUGCCAAAGGACCAAUCCACCAAAUGGCCAUUUCACUGAAAACCAAGUCACCCAACACCAAUUUGCCACAUCUACUUGUUGCCUUUAACAAUUUCAUUUCAGUUGACUCGAUCCCAUUUGGCCAUAUUGGAGAGCACGUUCAGGAAUAUCUAAUUGAUUGCUGCCCUAGUUCUCUGAGGGCUGAAAGAGGGGCAACUGAGGAGCAGAGAGAUAAUGCAUUUUUGAAAAUGUUCUUAAAUAUAAUCGUGACCAUAAUGAUUUAUUACAAUUGCAUUCUUCUUUAAAGAUACUACUGUUCCUCUCCCAGACUCUCAUUCUCUCUUCCUCUCUUUCCCUCUUUCUGCUCCCUAGUCUCCAGCUGCAACACCUUGGCACUGGGAUGGAAACAAAUGGAGCAUUUAUUGAGUGUAAGAGUUAAAAACAACACCCCUCUUUUUCCUCCAUUUUGGAACCAAUUGAGAGAGAGGUGGAGGUGCCAGUCAAGUGGAAAUCAAAAUAUUCCCUUUAUUCUUGGUAAGCUCUAUUGGAGGAUAUGGCCCAAAUCUGGCCAAACGGCCCCAAACUGUAACCACAGGCUUUCCCUCCAGAAGCAAGAUUUCUACAGCACUGUUCCCACAUCCACAAAACAACAGACAUGCCAAUCCCCAGCCUCUAGAGCAUUAACACAGGCAAAAGCAUGGUUCUAGAACCCAGAACCCAAGAAAUUCAGUGAUACCUGAGAGAAAGGGAAUAAACGGGGGAAAAUGUUUUGUUUUAUCCUCAUAGAAUAUCAUCAGCUCAGGCUAGUGGUUUGGAGCUCAAGACUUGUGAUUUUAAAGGGGAACCUCUCAUUAAGCUAAGUGGUUAAUUCUGACCUUACAUGCAAUCUUGCAGUGGCUGCCCAUUUCCCUCAGCAUAGAAGCCAAAGUCUUGUGGGAAAGCCAGCAGAGCUCCCUCGUGUGAACACUUCUCUGACUUUAUCUCCUCCAGCUCUCCCCCUAACUUGGAGACUCUGCUUCAGCCACACUGACUUCCUUUCUGCCCUCAAACAUACCUUGCCUUCACCCAUCUGAAGCCUUUACCCCAGAUACAGUUACAGUACUCUCAGUUAGUCAGUACACCCAUGACUCUUUGUGUAUGUGUGUGCACGUGUAUGUAAUACAUGUAUACACACCAUACAUAGGCAUACA
rnacentral:lncRNA from 1 species